UUACUCUUCCAGACUCUCAGAUCCAAAGCCAACCUGAACACCAGAACCGAGUCCCGUGCGGACAGGAGGUCAAUAACCUCAGCCUCAAAUAACCAGAAACUGAUCGAAGGUGACAAAUGGAGAGAGCAGGCGAGAAGAUGCAAGACUUGGCAUUCAGGAAGAACAAUUCGAUGGUGGCAUUAUCCUUUAGGUAUGAAAUGCUUUCAAUGUAGAACCUGAAAGGCAAAGAGAGUGAAUCAACAACAAAACUGAGCAUUACCAGCAAGAAAAUCAACUCAACUGUGAACUUCGACUCCAUGACCGGAAGUUGUGGAUACUACCCCUUACUGUGCUCUCCCAAGCGCUUAGUACAGUGCUCUGCACAUGAGUGACUCCUUUGCUUGCUGUAAGAAGUCCAGAAGAGUGCCCGGCAUUCCAGUGGAUCGGCGUGCCUGAUCUGAGACUUGAGGAUCAAUUCCUGAUAACACCCUCCCCUGAAGACAGUUGCUAAUGAACAGUGACCCUGACCAAAACUGGGCAAGGCAAAGGGCAGACGGAUUAACUGUGGAUCUGGAUAAUCCUCCUCUAUCGACCUAUUGAGAGCUGCUAAUUGGAUGCUGGAGAUGUUGUUGGAGAUAGAACCACUGCCGAGUCCAAACGGCUGUUUGAAAAAUAACUAAGUGGUAUGUUUAGAAAAUUUGUUUUAAUUUCACAAGAUAUUCACUCAUCCUGGACUCAAAAGACAAACCCUCUUCCCACCCCAUUUUCUAUCAAAAACAGAUUACAGAAAAUUACAGAUUAGAAGCAGACGAUUCUCAAACUCAGGCCUGACCAUUUCAACUCUACCGUAGGUUACGACAUAUAUUCCUUCAAUCCUUAUAGAGAUUCCUAAAGCAUUUCUGUCAGAGCGAACCCUAAACAAGGAGACCAAAUUUAUUGAGCAUUUACUGUGUGUAGAGGACUGUAGUAAGUGCUUAAAAGAGUACAGUACAACAGAGUCGGUAGACAUGGUACCUGCCCACAUUGAGUUUACGGUCCCAGGGCUCGAUCUCAGCUUUAUAAUCACCGUCCUUAGGGAAAUGGCAGAGAAGGAGCAUGGGGCUGGGCGU